CGAGGCUAAUAAGCCUUCUUCUUGA
rnacentral:tRNA from 1 species